rnacentral:rRNA from 1 species
GGUGGCGAGUGGCGAACGGGUGAGUAAUGCAUCGGAACGUGCCCAUCGAUGGGGGAUAACUGCGCGAAAGCGUUGCUAAUACCGCAUACGACCUACGGGUGAAAGCAGGGGACCGCAAGGCCUUGCGUCGAUGGAGCGGCCGAUGCCGGAUUAGCUAGUUGGUGAGGUAAAGGCUCACCAAGGCGACGAUCCCGUAGCUGGUCUGAGAGGACGACCCAGCCACACUGGGACUGAGACACGGCCCAGACUCCUACGGGAGGCAGCAGUGGGGAAUCUUGGACAAUGGGCGAAAGCCUGAUCCAGCAAUGCCGCGUGUGGGAAGAAGGCCCUCGGGUUGUAAACCACUUUUGGCGGGAAAGAAAUGGUCUGUGCUAAUACCACGGAUUGAUGACGGUACCCGCAGAAUAAGCACCGGCUAACUACGUG